UGCCCAAUGCGGGAUUCGAACCCGGGUCGUAGUGGUCGAAAACCAACGGUUUAGACCAUCCUUCCACCGAAUUUCAUUUCCACCAAAUGGAU